rnacentral:tRNA from 2 species
GGCGCGGUGGCAGAGUGGUGAUGCAGAGGCCUGCAAAGCCUUGUACGCCGGUUCGAUUCCGGCCCGUGCCUCCA